rnacentral:lncRNA from 11 species
AUGAUGAUGAUGUUUAUUUAUACACAAGGAGACUCAAUAUCAAAUGCCUACCAUCAUGAUGGCUCAGCGUCCAUGCGAAUGCCUUUCUUGCUUCUCGUUGACAGAUAUCUCUCCGGUGACCCGAUCCCCAUUCCGCUCGACGGUGGCGCAGAGCUCAGCUUCGUUUUCCCUCCGCCGUUGCCUUCUCCCACCGCCUUCUUCCCGGCCCGGCCCUGCGCUUUGCCCUUCGCCCCGCCGCUCUUCCGCUCCCCACGGCGGACCUCUUCCUCCUCUCUUCCGGGGCGCCUCAACCGGGCCCUGUCCUUGGGCACCACCCCGUCCCUGGCCAGGACCGAUUCGGGAUACUUGUUCAGCGGAAGCCGCCCCCCUUCGCAGAUGUCCUUCUCCAAGGAAUCACCUACAUCAGAAUACUUCUCGCUCCUCUCCGGGAGCUGCCUCCCUUCCCCGGUGCCGUCGCCCGCCCCAUCCGUGGCCGGUUCCGUGGCCUCGAGUUCGGGUUCCUUGCGCUACCGCCGACCGCUCAUCAGCCCGGCCCGGCUCAACUUGAAGGGCCAGCGGCUGAUGCUCUUCUCGGCCCAAAACGGGGUCCCCUCCGGCGAGGACUUCGCCCCCUCGGAAAGCCACGGCUUCGCCUCCGACGUGCCCGCUUUCCCCAAGAGGAACCAUAUUGAGAGAGAAAUGCAUGGUAGAUACAUCUCCGUGGUCCUCAAAUUUCAAAUUUGGGCCCUCCAGGUGUUUUGGACUCCAACUCCCACCAUUCCUAACAGCCUCAGGCCCUUUCCUUUUCACCCCCAGCCGCUUAAGCGGCUGGGGGUGAAAAGGAAGGGGCCUGAGGCUGUUAGGAAUGGUGGGAGUUGGAGUCCAAAACACCCGGAGGGCCCAGGUUUGCCCAUUGAUGCAGCCUGGAAAACAUAUCCCUGCAAACCGUUCUCUGUCCGCAGAUACCAGGGCGGUCCUCGAGGCGGGCAGCCUUUGCAGCGAGGGCUCCGCGAAGAAGACGGACAACUCCUCGCACGGUUCCAGCUGCGUGGUGGACACCACGACCAACGGGGAGGAGAGUCCCGGCUGGAAGGGUGAGUGCCAAAAUCGUAACAUCCUCGGGCACUUAAAUGCCUUGAUUCGAUGGACAUUCCUGGACUAGGAAGCUUUACUUGUGGAAUAAUGUCCAGGGUGGGAGAAAGAACUCUUUUGUCUGUUUGAGGCAAGUGUGAAUGUUGCCAUUGGCCAGCUUGAUCAGCAUUGAAUAGCCUUGCAGCUUCAAAGCUUUGCUGCUUCCUGCCCAAGGGCAUCCUUUGUUGGGAGGUGUUAGCUGGCCCUGAUUGUUUCCUGUCUGGAAUUCCCCUAUUUUAGUGUUGUUCUUGAGUGUUGUUCUUAAUUUACUAUCCUGAUUUUAGAUUUUUUUUAAAAUACUGGUAGCCAGAUUUUGUUCAUUUUCAUGGUUUCCUCCUUUCUGUUGAAAUUGUCCACUUGUUUAUGAAUUUCUAUGGCUUCUCUGUGUAGUGUGACAUGGUGGUUGUGAGAGUGGUCUAGCAUUUCUGUGUUCUCAGAUGGUAUGCUGCGUCCUGGUUGGUUCAUUAAUUGCCCACCUUGAUUAGCAUUGAACAGCCUUGCAGCUUUAAAGCCUGGUUGUUUCCUGCCCGAGGGCAUCCUUUGUUGGGAGGUGUUAGCUGGCCCUGAUUGUUUCCUGUCUGGAAUUCCCCUGUUUUCUGAGUGUUGUUCUUUAUUUACUGUCCUCAUUCUAGAGUUAUUUAAUAGUAGUAGCUAGAUUUUGUUCCUUUUCAUGGUUUCCUCCUUUCUGUCGACAUUGUCCACAUGCUUGUGGAUUUCAAUAGCUUCUCUGUGUUGUCUGACAUGGUGGUUGUGAGAGUGGUCCAGCAUUUCUGUGUUCUCAAAUAGUAUGCUGUGUCCAGAUUGGUUCAUCAGUUGGCCAGUUUGAUUAGCAUUUAAUGGCCUUGCAGCUUCAAAGCCUGGCUGCUUCCUGCCUGGGGGGAAUAAUAAUAAUAAUAAUAAUAAUAAUAAUAAUAAUAAUAAUAAUAAUAAUAAAUAAAUAAAUAAAACUUUAUUUUUGUAUCCCGCCCCAUCUCCCCGAAGGGACUCGGGUGGCUCACAUGGGGACCAAGUCCAAAUACAGCAUAAAAUACAAUAUCAAAAUGCAUUUAAAAUAUUUAAACAUAAAGAAUACAAUAAAAACAUACUCAACCAACCAGGGAAUCCUUUGUUGGGGGGUGUUAGCUGGCCCUGAUUGUUUCCUGACUGGAAUUCCCCAGCUUUCUGAGUGUUGCUCUUUAUUCACUGUCCUGAUUUCAGCUUUGGCUUUUUCUUGUAGUCUAAUUCUUUCUCUCUGUUUUGGUUUCGACGAAGGUCGCGUCGGCUGCUGGUCUGUCCGGGGCCUCCUCGCCGUGAGCCUGACCCUCAACGCCGUCUUCACCUCGGCCUUCCUCUACCGAAGCCUGCGGUGAGAGACAAGAUCCGCGUCCUUCCUCUCUCUCCUCGCUUGCAGCCGGUGCCACGUUUCCUCCGAUGGGCAGGAAGGAGUCCGACGGCGGACGAAAAAUACAGACUCGGGGAGGAGAGCGGACAUCUGGCCGACGGCCACUACGACGCUUCACACCUUUCCUUCUUUUGUAGGCAUUUAAUGGACCUCAAAAACGUGGGAGUCCGCCCCCAUUGGGUUCCCUCUCUCGAGGACGACAAACAAUCCAUUUUGGGAUUCUCGCUUGAACCUGGCUGGUAGCUCAUUCCUCCCCAUCUGGCUGGAGCCACUUUUCCGGUGCUGAAGUUUGUCAGAACUUGUUUUUUUUUCCCUUAGUCAAUUGUUUUUAAUUUUAAUUAUCCAAUCCCGCAGCCGUGUUCUGCCUUAGAAAGGGGCACCGCUUCUACUGUAACGAUACAAGCCCCGACAACUGGCGCUGGGCUGCGUCGGCGUGGCUUUCGGAGACAUUACCUGUCGAUACAUACGUGCUGCUGUACUGCAAAUGCUGCAAUUGAUUGCGGGGAAGCGGCUCUUCGUAUGUUGUUUCGGUGGCGAUUGUACCACCCAAGAGACCUCGUCUCAUCCUUGCAAUGUCUCUAAACAAGGCAUGGACAAACUUUAUGAAUCCUGGGCCCAUAACCCAGGCGUGGGUCACCUCGUGCUCUUCCUCCAAGUGUUUUGGGCUUCGACUCCCACCAUUCCCAACAGCCUCAGUCCCCUUUCCUUUCCCUCUCAGCCACUUAAACGAACUUUAUGAAUCCUGGGCCCAUAACCCAGUUGUGGGUCAACUUCGGCCCUCUCUCCAGGUAUUUUGGACUUCAACUCCCACACUUCCCAACACCUUCGGUCCCCUUUCUUUUCCCUCUUAGCCACUUAAACAAACUUUACGGAACCUGGGCCCAUAACCUAGUGUCGGCUCAACUUCUGCGCUUCCUCCAGGUGUUUUGGACUUCAACUCCCAUCAUUCCUAACAGCCUCAGGCCCCUUCCUUUUUCCCCUCAGGAAAGGGCCUGAGGCUGUUUGGAACAUGGGAGUUCGAUUCCCAUAACCAAUACGUAGACGAUGCUAAGACUUCGCCUGGUGUAUUGUUUCCCUGAUUUUCCCCGCUUCGGAACCUAAGCACUAUCCUGUACUCCCCACUAGACUUCUGCUUACUCCGUCUGUCUGUCUACACCAGUGGUUCUCAACCUGUGGGUCCCCAGAUGUUUUAACCUCCAACUCCCAGAAAUCCUAACAGCUGGUAAACUGGCUGAGAUUUCUGGGAGUUGUAGGCCAAAAACAUCUGGGGACCCCAGGCUGAGAACCACUGAUCUAUCUGAACUUAUCCAUCUGAACUAUCUACUCCUAUCUAUCAGAUAGAUCAGAUGAUGUAUCUAUUUGAUCUAUCUAAACACUUCUCUAGCCAUCUAUUAGAACUGUCUAUCUGAAUUAUCUGAUCUGUCUAUCUAAACUGUGUAUCUAUCUGAUCUAUCUAUCUGAACUAUCUACUCUGAUCUAUCUAUCUGAUUUAACUAGUUAUCUGAACUCUCUAUCAGAGCUAUCUAUCUAUCUGAACUAUCUGAACUUAUUUAUCUAUCUGAACUAUCUACUCUGAUCUAUCUUAUCUAUCUAUCUAUUUGAUCUCCAUCUAUCCAUCUGAACUAUCUGUCUAUCUGAUCUAUUUACCUAUCUGAACUAUCUAUCUGAACUUAUUUAUCUAUCUGAACUAUCUACUCUGAUCUAUCUUAUCUAUCUAUCUAUCUAUCUAUCUAUCUAUCUAUCUAUCUAUCUAUCUAAACUAUGUGUUUGAUCUCCAUCCAUCCAUCUGAACUAUCUUGUCUAUCUGAUCUAUCUAUCUGAACUAUGAUCUAUCUUAUCUAUCUAUCUAUCUGAACUAUCUAUCUGAACUUAUUUAUCUAUCUGAACUAUCUACUCUGAUCUAUCUAUCUAUUUUAACUAUCUAUUUGAUCUCCAUCCAUCCAUCUGAACUAUCUUGUCUGCCUAUCUGAACUAUCUAUCUGAACUAUCUGAUCUAUCUAUCUAUCUAUCUUAACUAUCUGUUUGAUCUCCAUCCAUCUAUCUGAACUAUCUGUCUAACUGAUCUAUCUAUCUAUCUGAACUAUCUACUCU